UAUUGUGCACAAUCCUCUGAAAUGAUGGCUCUUUGACUCGCAAACCCUAGCCUCAAUGGGCAGCACCAUCUCCUCUUCACGCAGGGCAUGCGUAACAAACACAUUAAAUAGAAAUUUCUGUAUCAAUCUCUUAAAGGAGACAUAAAGCCGUAACUAGAAUUAUUUUCACUUGUCAAAGGUUAUUUCAAAAGACUUGUAUUAAGUUAUUAAAACCAAAACUUUUUUGUUAUGUACGAGAUAUAGAUUUGGUUUAAAAGAAAGAGAAAGAGAUAUAAUGUAGCUUACGAGAAGCCAAGACGAUGAACAGCAACAAUAAGAGCCCAAAAGAUCCCUUCUCCAUAUGUGUUAUUUUGCAGCCUAGCUUUCUGGUGAUAAUACUUCGGAAAUGGAACAAGUUCUCCGUUCUUUCAUCUGCGCAAAUAUAUAGCUGCCAUAUACUGAUAUUUGGAGCAGAAAGAGAUUGUUGGAAAUUCGAAUAUUUUCACAUGAAAUGAGCAAAACCAUGCUCCUUCACAUGCUACCUUACACAUUUGUUUGUUCUAUUGUAGCGUGAAUAGCAUCGAUCUUUGUUCAAGGAGUGUGAAUCUCGGUACGCAUUCGUCCAACA
rnacentral:lncRNA from 1 species